rnacentral:rRNA from 1 species
AGAGUUUGAUCAUGGCUCAGAUUGAACGCUGGCGGCAGGCCUAACACAUGCAAGUCGAGCGGUAGCACAAGAGAGCUUGCUCUCUGGGUGACGAGCGGCGGACGGGUGAGUAAUGUCUGGGAAACUGCCUGAUGGAGGGGGAUAACUACUGGAAACGGUAGCUAAUACCGCAUAACGUCUUCGGACCAAAGUGGGGGACCUUCGGGCCUCACGCCAUCAGAUGUGCCCAGAUGGGAUUAGCUAGUAGGUGGGGUAAUGGCUCACCUAGGCGACGAUCCCUAGCUGGUCUGAGAGGAUGACCAGCCACACUGGAACUGAGACACGGUCCAGACUCCUACGGGAGGCAGCAGUGGGGAAUAUUGCACAAUGGGCGCAAGCCUGAUGCAGCCAUGCCGCGUGUGUGAAGAAGGCCUUCGGGUUGUAAAGCACUUUCAGCGAGGAGGAAGGGUAGUGUGUUAAUAGCACAUUGCAUUGACGUUACUCGCAGAAGAAGCACCGGCUAACUCCGUGCCAGCAGCCGCGGUAAUACGGAGGGUGCAAGCGUUAAUCGGAAUUACUGGGCGUAAAGCGCACGCAGGCGGUUUGUUAAGCCAGAUGUGAAAUCCCCGCGCUUAACGUGGGAACUGCAUUUGAAACUGGCAAGCUAGAGUCUUGUAGAGGGGGGUAGAAUUCCAGGUGUAGCGGUGAAAUGCGUAGAGAUCUGGAGGAAUACCGGUGGCGAAGGCGGCCCCCUGGACAAAGACUGACGCUCAGGUGCGAAAGCGUGGGGAGCAAACAGGAUUAGAUACCCCGGUAGU